UAUAUAUAUAUAUAUAUAUAUAUAUGUGUGUAUAUAUAUAUUGUUUUUGUCACAUAUUCCUAUUUAUUUUUGCACAUAUUUUCAUUUCGUAAAAAUAUUUGUAAUGCCAUACAACCAAUACAACGUAAGCUUUGCAGGAAAAUGUCAAUGUUCUGUUGGUAAAGUUUUCAGUUUCAACAUCCCCUUAAUAUAAACUUAUAACUUUAUAUUAUAGAUCGUUAAAAUCGUUCGAACAUCCACUGUUGCACUAAGAAUAAAAAAAAUAUAUGCUUUUUAAUAAUGAAGGUGAUUUUGAAAGCGUCGUUGCAUUCGUUGACUCUACUAUUCAUGAUGAUUAAUAAAACUACUAAGUGCUUUCAGAUAAAUAUAAUUAUCAAAUAGAACAAAAAGAAACAGAAUUAAUCAUAAAAACAAGCAAAACAAACGAUUUAGCAUAUUAUGUUUUUAGACAGAACUUUCGUACUUUUAAUUGAAAAAUUACAUAAUUAGUAUAUUUAUAUUUAUUUAUGAGUAUAAACGAGUAAAUAUAAAGUAAUAGUAACUUUAUAUUAAUGUUAUAAUUUCCCACUUAAAAAUUUAAGUGCGAUGUAACAUAUGAUAUACAUAAUAUACAUUGUUGAACGGAAAAUUAUAAGAUUAAUGUAAUGUUAUUGUAACUCAAUUUACUAGAUGAUUAAUAGGUAAUGCUAGGUAAUUAAUAGAUAUUACUAGGUAAUUAACAAUUUGCUAAUGUAAAUUAGAUGUACAGAUAAUUUCAACUGAGCAUAAGUUAAAAGCGUAUUUGAAUGUAUUUAAUUUUUCUCAACAAAAUUACUGUCAUAUAAAAUUCUAUAUAAUUCUAUAUAAAAUAAAAUUCAUAUAAAAUUCUAUAUAAUUCUCAUCAAAAAUUAUUGUCGUAUAAUAGUCCCCUCCGUGCCGUGAAAUUUUAGUUACACAAAUUUUCCUCUGGAUCAUAUAGAUUCGAUAUUUGUAUGGUAAUAGUUACUGUUCUACUCUGUAUAUAAAAUAUAUAUAUUGGGUUGGCUAAUAAGUCCGUGAGGUUUUUUACUUAUAAAUGAUCAAUUAUUAUUUUUAUAGAAGCUAAUAACUUUAAUCAAUUAUGUAUUGGACGUUGUUAUCUACUAUCUUUUGCCAUCUUUUAGCUUCAUAAUUCCUCGUUCAAAGAACUUCCUGUCUUUCUCGGCAAAAAACUGUUCUAAGUGUCGUUUGACAGCUUCCUCAGAAACGAAGUGCUUUCCAUUAGUUACAUCCCGUAACUAAUGGCCCCCGUAGGGCCUGACGUACCUUUACAUUGCAUAAAGACCGAUUACUUAUCCGACCGGGUUAAAAGUUAAAAGUUAAAAGUCAAAUAUACAAAAGGAACACGUAGAUCUCGAGCCUUACGAAAGAAUCAUGAAUCAUACCACCUACAAUUACGCAUGUCCAUAUAUGGCCUGAUCGAACAUUUCCCGAAUUUCUAUUUUUUCUCAUCAAUCCGAGCCUCAUCUUUGUUACUAAGCAAGAUAUCUCCAACGAAUCCGGUAACUGCUAUCCACGAAAUUUCCCAUUUUCCGAAACUAUAAAAAGUCUGAUCCGUAUGACUUCUGGGUUCAUUCACUUAUUAUCAAUACGACGUCUAGCAGUAUCACUUCUGUAAUUUUUAUUGUCAUUACGACGUCUACAAGUAUCACUUCUGUAUUCAAUCAUUUGUCACUACGACGUUUACGAGUAUCACUCAAGAGUCAGAAUCGAAGGAAGCAACUAACUCAGGAGAUCCAGGACCAUCCAUUUCUCUCCUUGCACACACUAACAGACGUAAUACAUUCAAGGAAUUCUGAAAGGAGCGAAACAGAUGGUAAUCUGAAGGUGCAAUGUCUGGAGAAUACGGAGGAUGUGGUAAGACAUCGCAGCUUAGUGCUAAUAAUUUUUACCAGCUGACUGCAGUACA